UGGUUCCUGAAAGAAAAUGACAGGGAACCCUUCUGUUUAGGUAGCUAGAAGUAGAAAGGAAAGAGAAAAAAAAAUCCUUUAUCUUCAGUUAGAGAAAUGUUUCCACAAGGUCCCUGAUAAACUAGGGAAAAAUGCCCCCGGGGCUUUCUGAUAGGAGUGAGUGUCCUCGAUAGUGCAGGCUGGGUGGGGCAGAAAGAGCUUUGGCAUCAGGGCAAAGAGGUGGAUUCUAACGGUUUCUUCUGUUUCUUCGCUGGUUGAAAAGGCUGCUUCCUGCCUGACUUUUUUUUUUAAGUCUUCAUGUGCCAGCCCAGCUUGUAAAUAUGAAGGAGUGGCUCCCACUCCCAGUGUGUGGGGCUGGGGUAUCAGAAGUCCUUAUCCCUGCUGUUGUGGCCUCUUGGGCGGAUGCUCCGUAGUCUGAGAAGGCGAGAGUUCUGCUUGUGCCUCACCAUUUACAAAUCUCACAUCACUCUGAGUCUCAGAAAACCCCCACAAGUUAGAUAGGCCAGGUAGCCAGGUUCCCAUUUGAUGUUAGGAAAUGAGGCCAAAGCCCUUCCAAAUCUCAAACCUGCCUGAACUAGAGAGUCACAGGACACUUGCUCUGGGACACAGGUCUUCUGGCUCACGAGAAUGUCUUUUGCAAAUUUGUUUUUCAAGAGGAAGAGCUUUAUUAGGAAAAAGCCAACUCAGAGGCCAUGUUACCUAGUAAGUGGCAUCUGUUGGAUUUGUCUUUUAAGUAAUCAGACAAAAGACUACAAUUAAGAAUAGAUGAACCUAUCAUUGCAAGUAAUAACUAUCUUUUAUUAGGCACUUAGUACGUGCCAGGUAGAGGCCCUGGAUGAUGCAAACGGUUAACACACUCAGCUGCUAACUGAAAGGUUGGAGGUUUGCGUCUGCCCAGAGACCCCUCGGAAGAAAGGCCUGGAAAUCGACUCAGAAAAAUCAGCCACGGAAAACCCUAUGGAGCAUAGUUCUACUCUGACACACAUGGGAUCACUAUUACUCAGAAUCAACUCGACGCGACGGCAACUGGUAUGUGCCAGUUAUUUUAUCUGUUUUGUCUUAUUUAAUCCUUAUAACAACCUUCUGAGAUCAGUAGUAUUAUUCCAGUUUUACAGAUAAGGAAACUGAGGCUCAAAGAAGCUUAAUAACUUUCCCAGGGUCACACAAUUACAUACAGAUAGGAAAUGGGAUUUGAACCUAGGUCUUCUGACUCUGUGUCCUCUUACUCACUGUGCCAGUGCUUCCCAAACUUUCUACAUUUGCUUAUUAACAAUACAUAUUCCUAGGCCCACACCAAAUCUACUGGAUCAAAAUCUCUAGGGGCCUCAGAAAGUCUUUGUCUGAACAUUCAAUCUAUAGUAGCCUUCUCCCCAGACACUAACACACCAUUGUUUUAUUUUCAUCUUUGCACUUAUCACUACUUGGUAUUUUCUUAUUUAUAUAUUUGCUUAUUGUCUUUCUUCCCCACUAGGUGACAAGUUCCAAAAGUGCAGGGACGAGACAUUCAAAAUUUUAUCUCCAGAAUACUGAACAAUGAGAAACUGAGGCUCAGGGAUGUGCAGUCAUCCAAGGUGACCCAGCUAGAAAAUGGCAAAGUGAUGCUUCAACAGACAUCUCCCUGACUCCAGAGCUGGGAAGCCUCUCGUUUGAGUGGAUGGUCUGUGCACCCAGCCUGGCAGACCUGCAUUUGCUUCCUUUGGACGGGAUCUAGGACAAGGAGCUCCAGCUAAGCAGAAAACUGGAGCAGAAAAGACAUAACUCCAGCCUGAGCCAGAGCCAGAGGGCCCCUGCAUCUCUGGCCAGGAGAAAGCAACUGCUCCGUUUCUGGUCUGCCCCUUAGACUGCAGAGCUCCGAGUCACCAGCCUGAACCACUUAUGCACAUCACACCCAGGUCAACUUGGAAAUGGCUGAAAGUACUUAAAUGGAAUUUUCAACCUUUGUCCCCAGCCCCAAAACCACGGGUAAGUAUUUAGGACCGUGUUGUAUCGAUCAUGCGUCCCACUGGCACCGGGCAAAACGCUUCAAAGCAAGUCAAGUUUCCCUUGACAAGGGAAGUCAUUCUCCUAAUCCUCUCUCGCUGGACAAUCAGGUUGACAAAAACCAUUAAGUUUUCUGAGAUUAGAAAUCCACUGUCAGAGGGAGCUGUGUAUAGAGUUUUCCACUCCAUUACACCCAGGACAAUAACCAGAGGCCGAGUGACAGGAAAAGGCCAGGGCUUUUUAAAGUUCCUGUGUCUUUGGGUGGAGGAAAAUAAAUCAACAAGUACCUACUUUUUGCCAGACGCGGGGUAUAUAUUACCUCAUUAAUCAACCCAACAGUCUAUGAGGUGGGCUCUAUUUGUUGCAUUUUACAGAAGAAUAAGAUGGGACUCAGAGGGAUUGUGUCACCAUCGAAGAUCACACAGCUAGUUAGUGUGAACUGGGGUUGAGAAUCAGAGUCACCAGGCCCCAGGGGUCAUUAAAGCUAAUGAUCGAUUUUCUUCUAGGCGGUUGUUGUUUAUAGAGGAACGACACGCUGCCCGGACUCACCAUCCCCAUGAUA